GGAGAUGUGGCCGAGUGGUUGAAGGCAGCAGUUUCGAAAACUGCCAUACGGGAAACCGUAUCGGAGGUUCGAAUCCUCCCAUCUCCG
rnacentral:tRNA from 1 species